rnacentral:lncRNA from 1 species
UGUCCGUCUGUCCCCGGCCGUCUGUCCCCAUCCGUGUCCGUCUGUCUGUCCCUGUCCGUCUGUCUGUCCCUGUCUGUCCCCAUCUGUGUCCCUGUCCCCAUCCGUGUCCGUCUGUCCCCAUCCGUGUCCGUCUGUCCCCGUCCUUGUCCGUCUGUCCCUGGCCGUCUGUCCCCAUCCGUGUCCGUCUGUCCCUACCCGUGUCCGUCCGUCUGUCCCCAUCCGUCCGUCCCCGUCCCUGUCCAU